CAGUCGCCGCGGUAAUACAGAGGGUGCAAGCGUUAAUCGGAAUUACUGGGCGUAAAGCGCGCGUAGGUGGUUUGUUAAGUUGGAUGUGAAAGCCCUGGGCUCAACCUGGGAACUGCAUCCAAAACUGGUGAGCUAGAGUACGGUAGAGGGUAGUGGAAUUUCCUGUGUAGCGGUGAAAUGCGUAGAUAUAGGAAGGAACACCAGUGGCGAAGGCGACUACCUGGACUGAUACUGACACUGAGGUGCGAAAGCGUGGGGAGCAAACAGGAUUAGAUACCCCCGUAGUCCCUGUCUCUUAUAC
rnacentral:rRNA from 1 species